UGAAACUUGCAGGAACGGGCCUUGUCCCAACAAGUCUUUUUCAACAGGUUUCAC
rfam:Ciona intestinalis ciona0071, whole genome shotgun sequence.